rnacentral:rRNA from 1 species
GGGUUGUGAGGUUAAGCGACCAAGCGUACACGGUGGAUGCCCUGGCAGUCAGAGGCGAUGAAGGACGUGCUAAUCUGCGAAAAGCGCCGGUAAGGUGAUAUGAACCGUUAUAACCGGCGAUGUCCGAAUGGGGAAACCCAGUGUGACUCGUCACACUAUCAUUAACUGAAUCCAUAGGUUAAUGAGGCGAACCGGGGGAACUGAAACAUCUAAGUACCCCGAGGAAAAGAAAUCAACCGAGAUUCCCCCAGUAGCGGCGAGCGAACGGGGAGGAGCCCAGAGCCUGAAUCAGCAUGUGUGUUAGUGGAAGCGUCUGGAAAGGCGCGCGAUACAGGGUGAGAGCCCCGUACACAAAAGCGCACGUGCUGUGAGCUCGAUGAGUAGGGCGGGACACGUGGUAUCCUGUCUGAAUAUGGGGGGACCAUCCUCCAAGGCUAAAUACUCCUGACUGACCGAUAGUGAACCAGUACCGUGAGGGAAAGGCGAAAAGAACCCCGGCGAGGGGAGUGAAACAGAACCUGAAACCGUGUACGUACAAGCAGUGGGAGCCCCACCACUAAGCCAGUGGUGAACUCCACAUACGCAUCCUUUGCUGAGGAUGCGGUUAACGGAGCGAAAGCGACGUUCAACCGCAAAAGAAGCAGAGGGGGCUUAGUGGUGGGGUGACUGCGUA